CUUUCUCCCCGCCGCAUUCCCGGUGUCGACUUACUAGCUGCAAGCCUCUGCCUGCCUUCCUGCGCGCCGUUCCCCGCUAGUCGCUGCUGCUGGCGCGCACUCGCCGGGUUUUUCCUCCCACGGCCUCGAGAUGGUGGUGAAUGUGGCACGGAGGAGCCGGGCCUUCCAACCCGGUGGGCCCGAGCUCCGAAAGGCCCCCUCGGCAGUGAGAGGGGCGGGAGCCCGCGGGGGCCGCGCCCUUCUCUCGCUUCGGACUGCGCAACGCUGCGCUCUGGGCUGACAGGUGAGUGUUGCAGGCAGGCGGCCGGGUUUACGGAAGGGGUGGGGGUUUGGGAACCGGUCUCCUGGGGGAUGCGGGGAUGAAUCCCUGGGCCUGAAGUGUCUUAAUUCAGGGGGAGGCCGCAUGCUGGUGUCAGGAUGGCCUCCAGUUGAAUCUGUGACAUUUACCAGCUAGGUGAUUUUGGGACUGGUGACUACGCGCGAGACCUCUGGAGGUCGCCCUGGUAGACACGGUUUUCAGAAGGACGGGUUUUAGGCAUUCAGACCCUUGCGUGCAUCCCAGCUUGUUGCUUUCAGCCUCGCUAAGUGACUAAGCGACCUUCAGGAAGUAACUUAAUCGGUCUAAACCUCUUACCUGUAAUAGGCGGAUAAAACGGUCCCAUCAAGACUGAGAAAAAGCACACCAGCUAUUGGCACAGCGUGGGCAGUGGGGCCUACAGGAUGACUGACUUAGUCUACAGAGAUCCCGGCGUACUUAAGCAGAUGAAGACUCUUAAGAUGACAGAAGGUGAUUUUUCUGGUGAUCGAGGACUUCCGGGGUAAUGACAGUGAUGAAAUGCAGGGGACCUGGUAGGUUUCUUUUGGAGACUAACUGGGGGCUGCCUGGUGGGACAGAACAGCAUGUUUCCAAGGGCUGUGGCUGGUCAUAGCCAUGGGAUCUCCAACUGCAUGCAAGAGCAACCUGGAAAGACUUUGACAGCGCAGGUCAGUACAAUACCUGCAAGCUGCCACUCAGCUUUCCUAUAAUGUUUCAGGACCAGGGCUGGAAGCCUUCCAUGUGUCAACUUCAAUGUAGAUGGGUUUUUUUUUUUUUUUUUUUUUGAGACGGAGUCUUGCUCUGUCACCCAGGCUGCUGGAGUGCAGUGGCAUGAUCUCGGCUCAUGGCAACCUCUGCCUCCUGGGUUCAAGCGACUCUCCUACCUCAUCCUCCCGAGUAGCUGGGAUUACAGGUGCCCACCAUCACACCCAGCUAAUUUUCUUGUAUUUUUAGUAGAGAUGGUUUUCACCAUGUUGGCUAGAUGGGUCUCGAACUUCUGACCUCGGGUGAUCCGCCCGACUCGGCCUCCCCUUCCAAAGUGCUGGGAUUACAGGCAUGAGCCACCGCUCCUGGCCAGUUUAGUUUUCACGCUAAGCUUUUUGUUCUGCAGGUUGCCCCCAAGUUUCCUGGCAGUGUGUGAUACUGAGGAGGUGAGCUUGUUUCUGGAGCUGUGCUUUAAGAUUCAUGUUACAUGUAAAGCUGUCCUCAUUUGUGACUAUGGACCUAUGGAGUUGGGACAAUCUCUAUGGGAAGCAGAAGGCAAGGACCCCGGUCAUUUUAGGUAGAAACAACAGCAUGCUAAUGCAAAAAAUUAUGCAGUGUGCUACUGAACUUCAGAGGUGAUCAAUAAAAGAAGAAUAAAAAGACUAAUAAAAGUAUAUUUGUGUUUGUAUUUUUUUGUAGAGACCGAACUGGUCUCUUCCCGAGCUCAAGCAAUCCAUCUCCCAAAGUGAGCCACCAUGCCCAGCCCUUAAAGAGAUCUUUGGAGAUUUUUUAUGAUGUAGGAUGAAUGCUUUGCCUCAAGCAGUAAGUCCCAACACAUGACAAGGUUGGACAGUUUCCCCAUUUACUUGGGAAACACGGAAGUGAGCAGUAUAAAGUUCACACGGAGGGUCUGCUUUGGCUUUGAGCUAUCUUCCUUAAUCCUUUCUGAGCUGCCUUCUCCCGUGUCAAAAUAUUGAUCCUAAAGUGAUCCAGGCCUUGUAUAUGCAGAUGCUGCAACUCAUGAAAAUAGAUGAAACCCAUUAUUAGAGCAAGUACUAAUUCUUAGGCCAACUGGCCUGUUCCAUCACACCCCACCACAUUCUACCUUCUGGGGCGUGCUCCUACCACACCUGCUAGAGUGCCUUUUCUACCUAGCUGCCAGACUUGCACCAAGUUAGGACUCAAAUAUGGCAGGUCCUACAAAUACUCCAGAGAACCCUGAUUUACAUACCUACCUGUCAACUGAGAAACCUUGAACUCAGGCUUUAGUGUGUGAAUUAUCCCAAGCUGCUCAUCCCAGUUUUGGAUAAUCCCAAACUGUCCUAUGUGGAUAACUACCUGGACAAAGGAUUCCUGUGAAGGAAACCAAUUUGAACCUUGUUUAAAAGUUGUUCCCUUGGUCUUCAAACUCAAAUGGUCAAAUGAAUGCAGCAGUGUUGUAGAAACAUUCAUGAUCUCCAAAAACAGUCAUUAUUAAAAUCUUACAAAUCAUAUUUCCAAAAAGGUUUCACAAUUUUUAAAAAGGAGUCUCUCAUCUCCCUCACAUCAUGCAACCUGGCUUGUCCUUUGGCCUGGCUACAUCAUGGCAGGGAUCUCUGAAGACACUGUGUCCAGGGGCUGCCAGUGACAGUCCAUCAGAGCGUCAUACAGCUCCUCACUCUGUUCCAUGAACUCCUUGUUGGCCUCAGUCACAUCCAGCUGUGGCAUGGGGUCUGGAAAGCAAGCAAGGAUGGGGUCAGGGAAGUCUAGGGACAGCUGCAAGGGACCUGGUUCAGUUCCCUUCUCCCAGAACUCUGUUCUAUGGUAAGGUCCCUAUCCUGCCAGUUUCUUUCAGGAAGUGAAAGCACUGCCUUGCAGGGUUCUGGGGAAGAUGAAAAUAGAAUAAUGUAUCUAGAGAAUGGGAAAAUGGCAGCUGUUAGCCUGCAUCUAUUAAAAGCUACACCUGUGUCUCUAGCCAUCAUGUAUCCUAGAUUUUCUGGUCUGGUCCUCACUUCAAAUUUGGGUUUAGAAGGUCUGAUCAAAGUUAUUAAGUCCAGAGCAUCAUCUCAAGAACUGACAAUAAGUGCAUAGUGGAAGAACUUCAGUCAAAUAUAGGAGCUGAAAGGCCAAGUCCUGUAUGUAUGUAUGUGUGUGUGUAUGUACUUUAGAGAAAGGGUCUUGCUCUGUCACACAGGCUAGAGUACAGUGGCACACUUACAGCUCACAGCAGCCUUGAACUCUUAGGUUAAAGUGAUCCUCCCGCCUUAGCCUCCCAAAGUACUGAGAUUACAGGCAUGAGUCCCUGUCCCUGGUGGUAAAAUACUAUUAAAAAUUUUUUCUGCACAGUGGCUCAUGCCCAUAAUCCCAGCACUUCAGCAGGUCGAGGCGGGCAGAUCACCAGAAGUCGGGAGUUCAAGACCAGCCUGACCAACAUGGAGAAAUCCCAUCUCUACUAAAAAUACAAAAUGAGCCGGGCAUGGUGGCACAUGCCUAUAAUCCCAACUACUCGGGAGGCUGAGGCAGGAGAAUUGCUUGAACCCAGGAGGUGGAGGUUGCGGUGAGCCGAGAUGGCACCACUGCAUUCCAGCCUGGGCAACAAGAGCAAAACCCCGUCUCGGCCGGGCGCGGUGGCUCACGCCUGUAAUCCCAGCACUUUGGGAGGCCAAGGCAGGCAGAUCACAAGGUCAAGAGAUCGAGACCAUCCUGGCCAACAUGGUGAAACCCCGUCUCCACUAAAAAUAGAAAAAUUAGCUGGGCGUGGUGGCAGGCACCUGUAGUCCCAGCUACUCGGGAGGCUGAGGCAGGAGAAUCGCUUGAACCCGGGAGGCGGAGGUUGCAGUGAGCCGAGAUCACGCCAUUGCACUCCAGCCUGGGCAACAGAGCAAGAUGCCAUCUCAAAAAAAAAAAAAAAAUUAGCUGGGCAUGGUGACCUGUGUCUGUAGUGCCAGCUACUAGGGAGGCUGAGGCAGGAGGAUCACUUGAGCCUAGGAGGUCGAGGCUGCAGUGAGGCAUGUUCACAUCACUGAUCUCAAGUCUGGGCAACAAAGUGAGACUCUGUCUCAAAAAAAAAAAAAAACUGGGCACUGUGGCUCAUGCCUGUAAACCCAGCACUUUGGGAGGCCGAGGUGGGCAGAUCACAAGGUCAAGGGAUUGAGACCAUCCUGGGCAACAUGGUGAAACCCUGUCUCUACUCAAAUACAAAAAAUUAGCCGGGUAUGGCAGUGCACGCCUGUAGUCCCAGCUACUCGGGAGGCUGAGGCAGGAGAAUCACCUGAACCCGGGAGGCAGAGGUUGCAGUGAACAGAGAUGGCACCACUGCACUCCAGCCUGGCGACAGAGCAAAG
rnacentral:lncRNA from 1 species